CCCAAAAAAAAAAUGGAGGACAUAUUGCAGUGUGCCACUUGCUCUUGUCAUUUCCUACAGCGUGAAACCAACAACAGAAAAUAGCCAAUCGGAAGAUACGCUUUUAACAAGGCCUAUAACACUUCCUGUUUGGCUUGCGAGCUUCUCGGGGUAUUACAGAGAGCAGCAAGUCUGACGAUUUUCCAUGACCAUCACGGAUGAUGUCAUCAUCACACCAGAUACAUUAGCACCCGGUCCACACGAGCACAGUAGUCCACCACCAAGUAUUCCAGCUACAGGUGCGCCUUUGUG